rnacentral:lncRNA from 1 species
GCAGGGUAUUUUUGGAUGAAAUGAAUGGGAACAUUCACUUGGAGAACUAACUUGUGCAAGUAGAAAACAAAAGAGCGAGCGAGUACAUGUGAAAGAACACAGUCCAGGGUCAGAAGGCACCCAGGGAACCAUCAGACCAGCAGCUCCUGAACUUAUCUGAGAAAGGUCAAGGCCUCCUGCAAAUCAGCUGAGGAAUGAGCCCUAAGCCUGAAGGAGUGACAGAAAGCAGCAGUACUAGAACCAAAACCAGAAGGAGAGAGCCUCCCUAGGAAAGAAGAACCCAGAGUGAAUGGAGUUGAGUACUUGGAGAUGCAAAGAGACCAAGAAAUUAAAGACUGAACCAGAGAAGAGUUCUAGAGGAGACUGUUCUUUGAGAACGUGGAGGAUGAUCAAGCUAAAGGAGCCCAGGGUUUUGAUAUCUCCUGGAGACCAGAGGCUUGACAGCCACCUGCCAGCCACAUUUGCGCCCUUCACCACAUUGUGAUCUCUGAAUGAACUCUUCCUACUGAUGCCUAGCAGCCUCUAUUCCAGAUCAAUUCUGUGGUAGGCAAAAUAGUGGCCUCUCGAAUAUCCACAUCCCCAGAACCUGCGAAAGACCUCCAGGAAAAGAAUGGAGCCCUGUCAUCACCUUGAUUUUUAGCUUAGUGAGACCCAAUGUUGGACUUCUGAAUUCCAGAAAGUUGCAAACUAUUUGUUGAAAAGACUUUGUUUUCCCCAUUAAACUGCACCAGCAUCAUUCAACCAUAGCACAGACUACCUCAUUCCUGACUUCCAUGCUGAAUUCCCUUCAGGGUGUGUCAAAACUGCACCCAUGGAGCAGUUCCAGGCAUGGAGAAGUUCCAGAACCAGGAAUCAAACCUGCACCGUAGCUGCAACUGAAGUCACAGCAGUGACAAAGCUGGAUCCUUAACCUGCUGCACCACCAGGGAACUCCAAUUUUUUCUAAUAUUUUAAUUCUAUCUUUUCUAAUUAGAAAAAAAUAGAUAUUACUAUUGCCAUUGUUGUUUACAUGUCACAUUGGUUUAGAAUUGCCCACAUAUUGUCUUUCUCUAACAAAAGAUCUGAUAAAUAAUCACAUCUACUUGUUCAGACUCUGAACUAAUUAAAAGAUAAGCAAGGAUUCAAACAUAUGGGGAAAAAAUGACAUAUUCAAGAAUGUGGCUUAAAUCUGCAGGCAAGAGAGUUUCAUGAUACUGAGCCACAGAAAGAAACUUUAUCCACACUCCAAUGAAAAUAGGGGUCCAUCUCAAUGUGAGAGUACUCCCCUAGAAAUAUGGAUCGAGGAUCAGCAUGGACCUUGUGCAUGCUAGCCAUAGGCAUCUGAUUACAAACAGUGUACAGCACCAGUUCUUUUGUUAUAUGUUAAGUACCAUAUAAUAGAAAGUUUUGUAAUCAAUGUAAAAUCCUCUGUUCUGCCCCUUUCUUAAGAAUUUGUAGCACUUAAAUGAAGAUGAAAGUUUAAAUCUGCUUUUCUUUUUAGGGCUGUACUAUGGCAUAUGGAAGUUUCUGGGCUAGGGGUUGAAUUGGAGCUGCAGGUGCCUGCCUACACCACAGCCACAGCAAAGCUGGAUCCAAGCCACAUUGCAACCUACACCACAGCUCAUGGCAAUGCCAGAUCUUUAGCCCAUUGAGUGUGGCCAGGGAUCAAACCCAAGUCUUCAUGGAUUACUAGUCACGUUCAUUACCACUGAGCCACAACAGGAACUCCUAAAAUGAUUUUCUUAAACUACAAUUCUCUGAUAAUAUUUUUAAAUUUUUUUUAUAAUUUCUAGGGAGAACAAGAUAUCAAAGGGUUGACACAGGAGCAUAUAACACUGUGGUAUUUAAAAUAUAUAGCAAAUAGCUAUAUAUAUAUAUAUAUAAAGAGAGAGAGAGCAUGAGACAGAGAGAGAGAAGUGUUUUCAACGAAUUCUAGGGGUCAAGAUCAGAGCUCUUUCCUUGAAGAACUGAGCUAGUAGGCAAAUCAUUUAAGUAAUGAUUGUGCAAAGGAUAUAUAAGAAUCAGUCAUUAAAGCUGAGGUAAAAUCAGGGAUAGCACAUUGAAAUUUUGGCAGAAAUGAUAUCAUUAAUAUACAGGCCAAAGUUUAAAAUUUAAUCAGAAAGCUAAAUAUUGCACUAGCUUCAGGAUGGGACUAGGCGUUCUCUUGUGGUAUAGCAGGUUAAGGACCCAGUGUCACCACUGCUAUAGCAUGGAUUUGACCCCUGGCUUGGGAACUUCCACAUGCCACAGGUGUGGUCAAAAUCUUAAAUAAAUCAAUAAAGGAUGGAUUAGUGUUCCAUGACUGUCCUAUAUGGAAAAUGAGAUGAUGACCAGCACCUAGAGACACAAGUGUGGCAGGAGUCAGAAUUAACUGGCCCACUCUACUUGUAGAAUAAAAUCUUUUUCUAAAACCCACAAACUAAUAGAUUAGGGUUUGGAGGGCAAGUCAGCAAGAGUAGCUCCUUAUCUACAUGGGUCAGGCCCAUUGAUUGUUUACAAGUGAAGAGAUGGAAUAUAAUACAUAUUAGUAGUGGACAUGACCCUUGGCCAAGAAUUCCAGAGUCUUCCUUGCACAUGCUAUUUACAUGAAGUACUGCAGUAGUCAGAGUAUACCACCUCCACGGAUGUCUCUAGUAGAUGAGAAUUUAAGACUGUACAGAGAGAGCAAAAUGAGCAUGGGAAGGAAAGUAUAGUUAGUUCACAGAACUUUCAGUGCUGUAGCUGCUAUUCAGUGUGAUGGGUGGAAAUAAACCACCCCAUGGGAGUGGAAUCUGUCCAGAGAAAGAGAGAAAUGGCUUAUGUGGGAAAAUGUUGGUUGGAGAAGCAUUUGACAGUUUUCAUCAGUUAUUAACACAAAGGUAAGAGAGAAUAAGUGUAGAGGGGGGAAAAGUGGGAAAAGUUUGGAAAAGUAAUAUCUAGAUUUUUAGAGGGAUUCUGAAGCCAUGAAUACCAAGGCUGGUCAGCAUGGUUUUUUUUGUUUGUUUGUUUUUGUUUUUUGUUUGUUUUUUGUUUUGUUUUGUUUUUUGCUGAGAAAAACAGCAAGAGAAAACCAGCAAGAGAAAACAGAAGGUCGAUGUACUGAUGGAGUGAAGAUGAAUUUUUUCAAUCAUCUGACAACAAAUAUAUGCUUCAUGUGUUGUGAUCUCUGGCUGUCUCUGGGGCUUUGAUCAGUUAUGAAUGUUAUUUCAUCAUAUGCAUGACCUGUGGGGGAAGAAAUCCUAUAUAAAUGAUUGGGAUUACUGCACCAUGCACCUCACAGCUGCAUGAAGUUUGUAAAUAAUUGAACAAGAUUUUCAUGCCACAGCCAACCUCCCAGGUGAAUUAGAUAUAGUACACAUUAAAAUCAAAUAAAAAGUUAGAUCGCUGUAGUUCCAUCUGGGCUUGUUAUCAUGUGAAGUCCUGCUUGUAAUGAAGAAUACUCAAGGAUGACAUCUGAAACAAUAGUUCCUCAGGUUGAUGAGUUCAGUAAUGAAUCGCUCUGUUAUUUCCUUCCAAGACUGAUUAAAAUAGUACUUGAGCUUCUGAAAAUACUGAAGUGCUUAUAAAUGAAGCAAAAAAAGAUAUCUGGUGAAAAACAAGACAGGGCAUGCUCAUUCAGCGGUCAGUGUCUUUACAGCAAAAACAAAUCCCUUCAGCAAACUCAUGAAUGAAAACAUUGCUUUCAUGUUGAAUAAUUCUGAUUUUGUGAGAGAGCCUUCUCUCCAAGUGGGUUGAUCAUAACUUCUAUCUAAUGUAACUGGACCAACCUUAAGAAUCUAUUGUUUGUAGAUUCAUGAAUAGAGUCUGCCAGGGUAUAUAUCUUACCUAAUUAUGCAUUCAUUCAAGGAUCACAGAAAAAGCAUCAAAGUUUUAGUUUCUGUGGGUAAAAUAAAACUGAUGUAGAUUUAGCUUUGACAAGGAGGAGCACAUAGACAGGAAGAUAAUUAAUACCUGUUACUCACCAGAUUAAGCUAUAUUGUGAUAUAGUCCAUAGAAAAGCAUAAAGUAUUAUAAAAGUUCCAUUUUGUUUUUAAGCUGAGGAGAGAUUAGAAUAGGCCACUUUGAGGAUGGGAUAUAUAAAUGGACCAAAAAAAAAAAAA